rnacentral:rRNA from 1 species
UCACGAAUCAUUGGCAAUGCGCGCAAGCGUGACCAUGCGACGCCGCGUGGGCGAUGAAGGCCUUCGGGUUGUAAAGCCCUGUCAGGGGUGAGUAAAACUGCGUUUGAAGCGCAGUCGAGUUAAGCCCCAGAGGAAGUCACGGCUAACUCCGUGCCAGCAGCCGCGGUAAGACGGAGGUGGCAAGCGUUGCUCGGAAUUACUGGGCUUAAAGGGCGUGUAGGCGGUGGGCUAAGUCGGGUGUGAAAUCCCUCGGCUCAACCGAGGAAUUGCAUUCGAAACUGGUUCACUUGAGUGCGGGAGGGGAGAGUGGAACUCCAGGUGUAGCGGUGAAAUGCGUAGAUAUCUGGAGGAACGCCGGUGGCGAAAGCGACUCUCUGGCCCGCAACUGACGCUGAGGCGCGAAAGCCAGGGUAGCGAACGGGAUUAGAUACCCCCGUAGUCC